AGUGAACGCUGGCGGUAGGCCUAACACAUGCAAGUCGAACGGCAGCACAGGAGAGCUUGCUCUCUGGGUGGCGAGUGGCGGACGGGUGAGGAAUACAUCGGAAUCUACUUUUUCGUGGGGGAUAACGUAGGGAAACUUACGCUAAUACCGCAUACGACCUAAGGGUGAAAGCAGGGGAUCUCCGGACCUUGCGCGAUUGAAUGAGCCGAUGUCGGAUUAGCUAGUUGGAGGGGUAAAGGCCCACCAAGGCGACGAUCCGUAGCUGGUCUGAGAGGAUGAUCAGCCACACUGGAACUGAGACACGGUCCAGACUCCUACGGAGGCAGCAGUGGGGAAUAUUGGACAAUGGGCGCAAGCCUGAUCCAGCCAUACCGCGUGGGUGAAGAAGGCCUUCGGGUUGUAAAGCCCUUUUGUUGGGAAAGAAAUCCAGCUGGUUAAUACCCGGUUGGGAUGACGGUACCCAAAGAAUAAGCACCGGCUAACUUCGUGCCAGCCGCCGCGGUAA
rnacentral:rRNA from 1 species